CGAGCUGGUUGGGCUUGAGAAGGCGGGGCUACGAUUGAUGGAGCAGGACCAGGAGCCGCAGCCUGAGCCGGAGCAGGCGCAGGUCUUUGUGCAGCUAAUGGAUGAACAUAAAUCCAUCUCAGCUGAAUUUUGAGCAUCUCCAUGGGAGUCGUGACCACCACCUGACAAGUCCCGGCCCCACACCCAGCCAGUACCUCCGCCCACAGGGGCAAAUGCCUGAGUAGCAUCCGUAACACAGCCUCAGAGUGGGAGAAGCACCAGACAGAAAGCAGACCCGACUCACUGCUGCCACCUUCUGGCACCCUGGACUCUGGCUGCAUCUCUUUCCUUUGGUCUAAAGGGCCAAAAUCUGUUUUUUGUCUUCUUCUUUUUUUUUCUUUCAGUGACAAACAAACU